rnacentral:rRNA from 1 species
UACGAAGGGGGCUAGCGUUGCUCGGAAUCACUGGGCGUAAAGGGUGCGUAGGCGGGUCUUUAAGUCAGGGGUGAAAUCCUGGAGCUCAACUCCAGAACUGCCUUUGAUACUGAGGAUCUUGAGUUCGGGAGAGGUGAGUGGAACUGCGAGUGUAGAGGUGAAAUUCGUAGAUAUUCGCAAGAACACCGGUGGCGAAGGCGGCUUACUGGUCCGGUUCUGACGCUGAGGCGCGAAAGCGUGGGGAGCAAACAGG